AGAGUUUGAUCCUGGCUCAGGAUGAACGCUGGCGGCGUGCCUAAUACAUGCAAGUCGAGCGAACGGACGAGAAGCUUGCUUCUCUGAUGUUAGCGGCGGACGGGUGAGUAACACGUGGAUAACCUACCUAUAAGACUGGGAUAACUUCGGGAAACCGGAGCUAAUACCGGAUAAUAUUUUGAACCGCAUGGUUCAAAAGUGAAAGACGGUCUUGCUGUCACUUAUAGAUGGAUCCGCGCUGCAUUAGCUAGUUGGUAAGGUAACGGCUUACCAAGGCAACGAUGCAUAGCCGACCUGAGAGGGUGAUCGGCCACACUGGAACUGAGACACGGUCCAGACUCCUACGGGAGGCAGCAGUAGGGAAUCUUCCGCAAUGGGCGAAAGCCUGACGGAGCAACGCCGCGUGAGUGAUGAAGGUCUUCGGAUCGUAAAACUCUGUUAUUAGGGAAGAACAUAUGUGUAAGUAACUGUGCACAUCUUGACGGUACCUAAUCAGAAAGCCACGGCUAACUACGUGCCAGCAGCCGCGGUAAUACGUAGGUGGCAAGCGUUAUCCGGAAUUAUUGGGCGUAAAGCGCGCGUAGGCGGUUUUUUAAGUCUGAUGUGAAAGCCCACGGCUCAACCGUGGAGGGUCAUUGGAAACUGGAAAACUUGAGUGCAGAAGAGGAAAGUGGAAUUCCAUGUGUAGCGGUGAAAUGCGCAGAGAUAUGGAGGAACACCAGUGGCGAAGGCGACUUUCUGGUCUGUAACUGACGCUGAUGUGCGAAAGCGUGGGGAUCAAACAGGAUUAGAUACCCUGGUAGUCCACGCCGUAAACGAUGAGUGCUAAGUGUUAGGGGGUUUCCGCCCCUUAGUGCUGCAGCUAACGCAUUAAGCACUCCGCCUGGGGAGUACGACCGCAAGGUUGAAACUCAAAGGAAUUGACGGGGACCCGCACAAGCGGUGGAGCAUGUGGUUUAAUUCGAAGCAACGCGAAGAACCUUACCAAAUCUUGACAUCCUUUGACAACUCUAGAGAUAGAGCCUUCCUCUUCGGGGGACAAAGUGACAGGUGGUGCAUGGUUGUCGUCAGCUCGUGUCGUGAGAUGUUGGGUUAAGUCCCGCAACGAGCGCAACCCUUAAGCUUAGUUGCCAUCAUUAAGUUGGGCACUCUAAGUUGACUGCCGGUGACAAACCGGAGGAAGGUGGGGAUGACGUCAAAUCAUCAUGCCCCUUAUGAUUUGGGCUACACACGUGCUACAAUGGACAAUACAAAGGGCAGCGAAACCGCGAGGUCAAGCAAAUCCCAUAAAGUUGUUCUCAGUUCGGAUUGUAGUCUGCAACUCGACUACAUGAAGCUGGAAUCGCUAGUAAUCGUAGAUCAGCAUGCUACGGUGAAUACGUUCCCGGGUCUUGUACACACCGCCCGUCACACCACGAGAGUUUGUAACACCCGAAGCCGGUGGAGUAACCUUUUAGGAGCUAGCCGUCGAAGGUGGGACAAAUGAUUGGGGUGAAGUCGUAACAAGGUAGCCGUAUCGGAAGGGGCGGCUGGAUCACCU
rnacentral:rRNA from 1 species